rnacentral:rRNA from 1 species
UACAGAGGUCUCAAGCGUUGUUCGGAUUCAUUGGGCGUAAAGGGUGCGUAGGCGGCGCGGUAAGUCGGGUGUGAAAUCUCGGAGCUUAACUCCGAAACUGCAUUCGAUACUGCCGUGCUUGAGGACUGGAGAGGAGACUGGAAUUCCUGGUGUAGCGGUGAAAUGCGUAGAUAUCGUAAGGAAGACCAGUGGCGAAGGCAGCUCUCUGGGACGGUACUGACGCUGAGGCGCGAAAGCGUGGGGAGCGAACAGG